rnacentral:rRNA from 1 species
ANCCAUUGUAGGCUUUGGAAACUGUUUAACUUGAGUGCAGAAGGGGAGAGUGGAAUUCCAUGUGUAGCGGUGAAAUGCGUAGAUAUAUGGAGGAACACCGGUGGCGAAAGCGGCUCUCUGGUCUGUAACUGACGCUGAGGCUCGAAAGCGUGGGGAGCGAACAGGAUUAGAUACCCUGGUAGUCCACGCCGUAAACGAUGAGUGCUAGGUGUUAGGUCCUUUCCGGGACUUAGUGCCGCAGCUAACGCAUUAAGCACUCCGCCUGGGGAGUACGACCGCAAGGUUGAAACUCAAAGGAAUUGACGGGGGCCCGCACAAGCGGUGGAGCAUGUGGUUUAAUUCGAAGCAACGCGAAGAACCUUACCAGGUCUUGACAUCCCGAUGCCCGCUCUAGAGAUAGAGCUUUACUUCGGUACAUCGGUGACAGGUGGUGCAUGGUUGUCGUCAGCUCGUGUCGUGAGAUGUUGGGUUAAGUCCCGCAACGAGCGCAACCCUUAUUGUUAGUUGCCAUCAUUCAGUUGGGCACUCUAGCGAGACUGCCGGUAAUAAACCGGAGGAAGGUGGGGAUGACGUCAAAUCAUCAUGCCCCUUAUGACCUGGGCUACACACGUGCUACAAUGGCUGGUACAACGAGUCGCAAGCCGGUGACGGCAAGCUAAUCUCUGAAAGCCAGUCUCAGUUCGGAUUGUAGGCUGCAACUCGCCUACAUGAAGUCGGAAUCGCUAGUAAUCGCGGAUCAGCACGCCGCGGUGAAUACGUUCCCCGGCCUUGUACACACCGCCCGUCACACCACGAGAGUUUGUAACACCCGAAGUC